rnacentral:rRNA from 1 species
AGCGAACGCUGGCGGCAGGCCUAACACAUGCAAGUCGAACGGAUCCUUCGAGAUUAGUGGCGGACGGGUGAGUAACACGUGGGAACGUGCCUUUUGGUUCGGAACAACUCAGGGAAACUUGAGCUAAUACCGGAUGUGCCCUUCGGGGGAAAGAUUUAUCGCCAUUAGAGCGGCCCGCGUCUGAUUAGCUUGUUGGUGAGGUAAAGGCUCACCAAGGCUACGAUCAGUAGCUGGUCUGAGAGGAUGAUCAGCCACACUGGGACUGUGACACGGCCCAGACUCCUACGGGAGGCAGCAGUGGGGAAUCUUGCGCAAUGGGCGAAAGCCUGACGCAGCCAUGCCGCGUGAAUGAUGAAGGUCUUAGGAUUGUAAAAUUCUUUCACCGGGGACGAUAAUGACGGUACCCGGAGAAGAAGCUCCGGCUAACUUCGUGCCAGCCGCCGCCGUAAUAC